GAAAGGUUAUAUAAUAUAUAUCCCACCUGAAUGUAGACAGAGGGAAAGGUUAUAUAAUAUAUAUCCCACCUGAAUGUAGACAGAGGGAAAGGUUAUAUAAUAUAUAUCCCACCUGAAUGUAGACAGAGGGAAAGGUUAUAUAAUAUAUAUCCCACCUGAAUGUAGACACCCACAGAGGGAAAGGUUAUAUAAUAUAUAUCCCACCUGAAUGUAGACACCCACAGAGGGAAAGGUUAUAUAAUAUAUAUCCCACCUGAAUGUAGACAGAGGGAAAGGUUAUAUAAUAUAUAUCCCACCUGAAUGUAGACACCCACAGAGGGAAAGGUUAUAUAAUAUAUAUCCCACCUGAAUGUAGACAGAGGGAAAGGUUAUAUAAUAUAUAUCCCACCUGAAUGUAGACACCCACAGAGGGAAAGGUUAUAUAAUAUAUAUCCCACCUGAAUGUAGACACCCACAGAGGGAAAGGUUAUAUAAUAUAUAUCCCACCUGAAUGUAGACAGAGGGAAAGGUUAUAUAAUAUAUAUCCCACCUGAAUGUAGACAGAGGGAAAGGUUAUAUAAUAUAUAUCCCACCUGAAUGUAGACAGAGGGAAAGGUUAUAUAAUAUAUAUCCCACCUGAAUGUAGACAGAGGGAAAGGUUAUAUAAUAUAUAUCCCACCUGAAUGUAGACGCCCACAGAGGGAAAGGUUAUAUAAUAUAUAUCCCACCUGAAUGUAGACAGAGGGAAAGGUUAUAUAAUAUAUAUCCCACCUGAAUGUAGACAGAGGGAAAGGUUAUAUAAUAUAUAUCCCACCUGAAUGUAGACAGAGGGAAAGGUUAUAUAAUAUAUAUCCCACCUGAAUGUAGACAGAGGGAAAGGUUAUAUAAUAUAUAUCCCACCUGAAUGUAGACAGAGGGAAAGGUUAUAUAAUAUAUAUCCCACCUGAAUGUAGACAGAGGGAAAGGUUAUAUAAUAUAUAUCCCACCUGAAUGUAGACAGAGGGAAAGGUUAUAUAAUAUAUAUCCCACCUGAAUGUAGACAGAGGGAAAGGUUAUAUAAUAUAUAUCCCACCUGAAUGUAGACGCCCACAGAGGGAAAGGUUAUAUAAUAUAUAUCCCACCUGAAUGUAGACAGAGGGAAAGGUUAUAUAAUAUAUAUCCCACCUGAAUGUAGACAGAGGGAAAGGUUAUAUAAUAUAUAUCCCACCUGAAUGUAGACAGAGGGAAAGGUUAUAUAAUAUAUAUCCCACCUGAAUGUAGACAGAGGGAAAGGUUAUAUAAUAUAUAUCCCACCUGAAUGUAGACAGAGGGAAAGGUUAUAUAAUAUAUAUCCCACCUGAAUGUAGACAGAGGGAAAGGUUAUAUAAUAUAUAUCCCACCUGAAUGUAGACGCCCACAGAGGGAAAGGUUAUACAAUGACAGUAUAUGUUACACGGUAUGUUUUCAGUCCCAGGAAAACUCCUAAACUUCCACUUAGUCAUCAUUAGUGAAUAUAUAACUGAAGUGAAAGUUAGUGUUGA